rnacentral:misc_RNA from 1 species
GAAAUGCGAUACGUAGUGUGAAUUGCAGAAUUCCGUGAAUCAUCGAAUCUUUGAACGCAAAUUGUACUUUCCAGUAAUCUGGAAAGUAUGCUUGGUUGAGGGUCAUUAAAAUAACAUUCGUGAUUUUUUUGCGGGUUUGAGUUUUCCAGCAUUUAUAAUAUAAAAAUGUUGGUAACUUUAAAAUUAUUAAUUACUUGGUACAAGUUGAAAACGUGCUAUAUGCGUGGUUCGCUGACAACUUGUCCAUCUUCAUAUAUUAUGCGCGCACUUGGUUUUUUUACGCUUUGUGCGAGUAUAUAUAUUUUUUUUAUGACCUCAGCUCAAGUAAGAAUACCCGCUGAACUUAA